rnacentral:tRNA from 1 species
AAGGUUUUAAGUUAAUUAAACUAAUAGCCUUCAAAGCUACAAAUAAAAUAUAAAUUUUAAACCUUA